AGUUUUAAUGUUUGUAGUUGUGCUAGGGUUGGGAGGUCGUUUAAGUAACUCAUUGCUGCUGCUGCUGCUGCUGUAUUCUUUAUCAUUAUAGACAGCAGGGUUUUCUCAAAUUUGUUUUGUAAAUGCGUUUAAAUCAUUCUAAUGCUAGUUUUGUUCGUAUCAUUACGUUUCAGAUAAUCCAAAUGGAUGGAGCUCUGCGCUGGCAAAAAAAUUUAAGUGGAACACAAGCAUGCUUGCUUUUAAUCUCAAACAUUUACGGUUUUCUGCCUCUAAAAAACUUGUGAUUUUCCAAACAAUUCAAUGCAAGGGUAGAUCUCUUUAGAAGGGUGCAUAGAGAGAAUUGAUCGUACUGGACUUGAUUUUGUGGCUUUGGAAGAUCCAAAAUUAGUUCCUCCUCAGAGCACACAAAGUGGCAGGUAUUUGCAGCAUCUGGUACUCUAAAGGGUGAUCGAGCUGAAUGGCUUUUUGAGAAAUGCGCGGAACUUGGAGCUCACAGUGUGACCCCUCUGCUGACAGAACGUUCUCUAUCAAUCUCAGAAAAUCGAGUAGACAGGCGGUGACAUGUCAUUUUGGCAGCAAGUACAAAACAGAGUCAGCAGUUGAGUGAUGAUUCAAAAUCCUCCAACCAAAGUUGUUGGCCUUUUGCCUCUAUUGAGUUCUUCUUCCCUCAUGCUUAAAAAGUUGACCAGCAUCUUGGCUCAAGGAGGAUAGAUUUAGCAGUGUUUGUGGAGCUUUUUUGGUGGGUUAAGACAUUCCAGUGCUAUAACUGAAGGGAAAGGGAACCAUCCAAGUCAGAUCCCUUGCCACUCAUUCCAUGAGUUUGAUGUUUUUUUUUCCUCCUUUUUUUUUAUCAAAAUCCUAAUGACAUUGGCGAAGACCAUGAUCAAGGCCUGAUAACAUAACACAACCUGUCAUAUGUCCCAUAAAUACCCAGGAUAUAGUAAAUCAUAAAAGAGUAACUAGACCAAAUCAGCCAUAAAUCAAAUCCUGGACAACAAUCAAGAACACUCUCUCUUUGAAGAAAAUGCAUUGUUUAUUGGUCAGGAGUUGACCAUCUCCUACACUGACCAUGGGAAAACGAAUUUUUGAAAACACGUGGACAUUCUUCUCUUCAUCUAUCCCUACUAUGCUGAGCUUGACCUUUUUUUUUUUUUUGGGUUAUAUAGCUUGCCCGGUCAAAGCUAUGUUUUCUGGCAACAGCAGAAGCUACUCCUGUUAAUUACAUUUGCAAGUAAGCUUUUCACAACGUGAAUCUCACACCCUGCUACUCUUAGAAUCUCUCAGAUUUGACGUGUCUUUGACAAAUCUGAUUCACACUAGAAAGUGAUCUCAUCCUGUUUGAUCCAGUUUAAAGUCAGACCUUAUAAUAAUCUACACUUGCCACUAUGUAAUUAUCUCAAAUCUUAGUAAAACUAGGCUAACUUUUUAAGUAGACUGGUAUCUUUUGCAAUCAGCAUGCUUGGUGGUGUUUGCAUUUUAAAACUACAAUAUGUGUAUUAUUUCUUCUCAAGCAGGCCAAUGAUGGAAUUUUUUUACUAGCAGUGAAGGAUUUUUCAAUCUUUGGGUGUCAUCUAGGCCGAUAUUCAACUUCAUACUGUCACAGCCCACACCAGUUAAAGGGCAUUUCUAUUCGCUCAAAUUCCCAUGGCGUGUGAUAUAUAUAUAUAUAUAUAUAUAUAUGUCUGUGGCCAUUGCUAUAUAAUCUUACAUCGUUUAGUGUCAUGUGGGAAAGUGGCAGUUUCCCUGUUUUUUUUUUUUUUUCUUCGAAGGAAGCUUCUUUGUUGUUUUAUCCAGAGGCAAGUUAAGUUAGAUUAUAAAUGCUUUAUUUUAGUGUUCAGCGCUUGGGCAUGACUUGGAGGUACAUUUUGUAAAAUGCAUAAUUAUGGUCGGCA